AUACUUCCACCAGAACCUGACUCUGUGAAGGGAAUGGAGAGACAGAAAGGCCAUAGCGAGAGUGGCCACGAGAGCACUGCUAGGGCAAAGGGCCCUGGGUUUUUCUAGUCCUCACUGCCACAGAGUCCGAGUGGGAGGCCUCAGGCAAGUCAGAAGUCACUUUUCCUCCACGGGACUCACUCCUUUUAUCUGUGAAAUGCGGAGAUGGCAAGCAGCUCCAUACUCCACGGCUGAGGACGAGCUAGGGUCCCGCACAGACUCAUCGAGGGCCCUGCCAGCACCCCUACGCCUCUGCCCACAGGACCUCCACCUCCCACAGGACUUUCCGAAAGCUCUGACUACCAACCACCAAGCGCCCGGCCCCCACGCUCGCCCCCGGCAGGCGGCGCGUCCCCCCCAGGCCUUCGCACCCACCGCGUGGGCUCCUGCCCUGGCCUCACCUGCCCCCGACACUCCCCGUCCCCGCGAUGCCCAACUCCGGCCCGAGAAGGCUGGCCGCGACCUCGCCCGGUACCCGCCGCCCCGACACCACCAUUCGCCUCCUCGACCUCCCCCGGCGCCGCUGCCCACCCGCCCCUCGCCCCGCUCACCGGGGCCGCUCACUGGCCGCCGCCGCGCCGCCUCCUCCGCGGCCUCCCUCGCGGCCGGACCAGCCCCAGGGACCGCGGGGGACCCGGCCGCCGCUGUCGCCGCCGCCGCCUCGCCUCAGCCCAGCCCCAUCGCCCUCGGCCGGCGCCGCGCGCUGCGGCUCAGGGUGAGGGAAGGAGGCGCCGCGGCGGGGCCGGGCCGGCCCUGGGACGUCCGCGCUCUCCUCCUCCUCCGCGCCCGCGGCGGCGGCGUGCAGCCGGCAGGGCGAGAACAAGGGAGGGCGGCGGGAGGUGGGCAGGGGAGGGGGGCGGUCUGCACUCCGAAACGGCCCCCCCGCCGCCAGCGACGUAGAGAACCCCCCUCCCCUCCGCGGCGGCGCCCGAUCACGCUGCGGGGAGAGCCGGCAGGCAGGCGGGGGAGCGCGCGCGGGCUCAGGACUCCCGCGCCGGAUGUGAGGUCACGUGGUGGCUUCAUCCCCGCGCGGAGGGCGGAGGGGCGCGGGCGACGUCAGGAGGCGGGGAAGGGGCGGGGAGGGGCGGGGCGAUUUAUAGGCCCCGCCCACCCAUCGCCUUUGCCACCCUCGAACGGGCAAAAGAAAGAAAGAGGCAGCCACCCUCGCCCCCGCCAAAACAAACAGACAAAAAACUGUCAUUCUCAUAUGACCACGGACUCUGCGCCCCGGCCGCAGGCGGAGGACAGGGAGGAGCGCACACGAGAAAGCUCCCACGCGCCCGCGCCUCGCCUCCGACGGGAAGGCGCCUCUUCCGACCGUCCUGGAUGCAAAUUAAAUACUUCCCUCCGCAGAAGACUUAUCUCGGGGUAGGGCCGCAGCCGGAUUUCCAAAUCGCGGGUUUGAUUUUCGCUGCGUCCUCUCCGCGACGCGCGCAGGGAGCGCGCCCGGCCACCUGCAGCCUCUGGCUGCGGCCAUCUUUCCGCCUGGGGCCACCUGGCCUGCGCCCUUUGUGCCCGGCCCGCUCCGUGACUGUUCUUCUUGCCGCUACUUACAGAACUCAGCCGCCUUAGCGUCUUAGAGAAGAGGACGGCAUGCAUGCGGACCCCGUCCACCACACCUGGAGAGCAGGGAGCCCUUAGUCCCUGGACACUUACCAGGGCCGCCACCCCUGGUCCACGCACGUGAUGACAUCUCACCAGGGGCAGCACACCGCCCGAGUCCGCGACACUGAUAACACCUCCUGCGGGCAGGAGGGCGCCACAGCCACCCCUGGUCCCCUAGAUUGUGUGAGGCUAGCAUUUCUGCCCGCCUCUUGGCGUGGACAGCACGCUGGACCGAGAUGGAACCACAGCUUUCUCUUCCCAAUCCCUGGCCUCACCGUUUUGUUUCAUACCUCACCGUUUGUUUCAAACCUCGUGGUGUUGAAAUGAUUAAAUGAGAUUAAGGGGCAUUCCUCAGGCCUUAUCUCUCUGGUUCUUUCUGCUACAUUUGACACCUUGGGAUGACUCUCACCUUCUGGAAUCUCUCUACUACCUUGGUUUCAGAAGAGUGAACCCUCUGGAUUAUCACAUGAAGCUACUUCCUGUGAGCAGCCCAGGGAUGGCCAGUCACUUGUGACCUACUUUCAGAGCUGGCAGUUCUGACUUCUAGAACAAACUCGGAACAAGCCCAUCUACAGCUGGUUGACUGAGUUUCCUUUGGGCUCCUGGCACCAGAAAGAAUUGCUCACUGGAAGGAUCAUAGGUGGCACUCAUGUCUCACUGCCCCACUCAGGGAGAUGGGGCCCCAUGGUUGUGCUUUAAGGAUGCUGUGGACUCCCUACAAUGUCAGCAACUGCUGUGUGCACCUGUAGCUCUCCAUUUCUCUCGAGAGAAGUCCUGUAGUUCUUCGCAAAUCCUUUUCAAAGGGGACUCGUGAUUCCAGAAGCAUCGAAGCCUUGAGGCUUGCCUGGAGAUUUUAGGUCUGGUGGCUGCAGAUGCAUAUGAGAUGUGGACUGCAAGAUAUUUCUCUACUGUUCAAAUCACGUGUUGGAGGCGACUCCCUAAAGUCAUAGGAUCUCAAAAUUGAAAGGAGCCUUAGGAAUAACCUAGUUUUCAGCACCGAAGCGAAGCUCUCAAGACUUUGUCAAAGGUCAGGCAGUUAACUUAAUGGCCGCAGGAAAAGCAAAGUCCAGGUCUCCCCUCUGCUUCUGCAAAGAACCGGUUCUGUUGGUCCAGUCGCUUGAGUUCCUACAUGAACCCAAAAAAACCAGUGAACAUCCUUCUGCAGGCUACAAAGCACUACGAUCUGCUUCCCUCCCUACCUCCUUCUCCUGACAUCCCCUCCUCCUGUCCUGCCCAGGUUCACUCCUCGCCCACCACGUGGUCUGCUUAGGGCUCCCACACAGCAAGCAUGUGCCCCCUUAGGGCCUGCGUCCUGGCUGCUCCCUCUCCUCGCUGCUCUUCCUCCCAGUACUCGGUUGGUUACUGCCCCAUCUUCGUCAAGCUGCCCACGUCUCACCUACUCCAUGUGAUUUACCCUGACCGCCCUGUUCAACACUGUAACUCCCUCCACCCCCGCCCCCCACCCCACCAGCAAUACUCAGUUCCGCUGCUUAUUUUUCCCAUAGCACGUGUCACCUUCUAAUACCCUAUACAAUUUGUCAGUUUUUUCCAUUUGAGUAUAAGCUCCACCAGGGCAGAGAUCUUUGUUUUAUUUGCUGAUAUAUCCCAAGAGCCUAGAGCAAUGCCUGGCACAGAGAAGGUACUCAAUACCGAAAACUCUUUUCUUUUUUUUUUUUUUUUUUGAGGCAGAGUCUCACUCUGUCACCUAGGCUGGGGUGCAGUGGCACGAUCUGGGCUCAAAGCAACCUCUGCCUCCCAGGUUCAAGCGAUUCUCCUGCCUCAGCCUCCUGAGUAGCUGAGACCACAGGCGUGCGCCACCGCACCCAGCUAAUUUUUUUGUAUUUUUACUAGAGAUGGGGUUUCACCAUGUUGGCAGGGCUGGCCUUGAACUCCUGGCCUUAAGUGAUCAGCCUGCUUUGGCCUCCCAAAGUGCUGGGAUUACACCACGCCCAGCCACAAUACUGAAAACUUGCUGAAUGAAUGAAUGAAUAUUCUCUCUCUGAAAAUUAGGACAUAAUUCCAAUUUAAGUCCCGAUAAAAGGAGCCACGAAGAGGCAAAAGAAUUAGGCAGGAAAGGUUGGGGUAGUGGUUACACUAGAUGCUUUACAGUUAUUUAUAGGGCAGGACUUAAACUCUUGGUUUGAUAAAAUAUAUGAAGGAGCAUAUAACUGACAGCUCAGCUCCGUUUUGCAAAGUGUCAGCCAGCACUUCUCUCUACACAAAACAGAUUAGUAACAUCUCUUCCUGCCAGAGGGCUUACAUGUUGCAAUUCUCUUGUAAAAAGUUUCUGAAUAUUUAAUAGUUGAAGUUGAAUGACUUUCUAAUAGGGUGUUGAUUUACUACAUCACUGACAUAAUUAAGAGGUAUCAAUUCAGGUCUGUUGGGAUUAAGUUUAUAACCCCCAAAGGUAAGCUUUCCGAGCCAAGCAAGUCAGAAAACAACAAGCACGUGAUGCAGAGGAACAUUGACACACCAGCUGAAGCCUCUGCAGCUGUGUUUUCCUAAGAUUCCCACCUUUGCUGCAGGCCCAGUGGGUGUCACCUUGUUCUGAGUGUGGGAGUGAAGCUACGGUGAACCCACAGCGUUAAGCCCGCGGUGGGGGACCCUGUGGGGGUCCCACAAACAGUCACCCUGAAGUUUUAAGCUUGGGAAGGAGACCCUGACCUAGUAUGUAUGGCGGUGGUCUAUUCUGAUCUACGAGUGUGGGUGUGGGUAUUCAUUACUAAAUUUCACUGUAAACUGCCAGGAAGAAAAUGUCAGCCUGUGGCAACUAAACACUCCGUGUGUUUCACUAGUAAUGACUUCCUCUCUUCUUUUUUUUUUUGUUUUUUUUCCUGAGACAGGGUCUUGCUCUGUCACCCAGGCUGGACUGCAGUGGCAUGAUCUUGGCUCCCUGCAGCCUCCACCUCCGAGGCUGAAGCAAUCCUCCCACCUCAACCUUUCUGGUAGCUGGGCCUACAGACGUGUGCCACCAUGCACAGCUAAUUUUUGUAUUUUUUGUAGAGACAGGGUUUUGCCGUGUUGCUCAGGCUGGUGUCGAACUCUUAGACUCAAAGAUCUGCCCACCUCAGCCACCCAAAGUGCUAAGAUUACAGGUAUGAGCUGCCACUUCACCCGGCCUUUUUUUUUUUGCCUUGAGACAGAGUCAUGCUCUGUUGCCCAGGCUGGAGUGCAGUAGUGCAAUCGUGGGUCACUGCAGCCUUGACUUCCUGGGCUCCAGCGAUCCUCCCACCUGAGCCUCCCGAGUAGCUGGGACUACAAGUGCAUGACACCACACCUGGCUAAUUUUAUAUAUAUAUAUAUAUACUUUUUUUUUUUUUUUUUUUUUUUUUUUGUAGAGAUGGGGUUUCACCAUAUUGCCCAGGCUGGUCUCAAACUCCUGGGCUCAAGCAAUCUGCCUGCCUCAGCCUCCCAAAGUGCUGGGAUUACAAGCGCAAGCCACGCACCCAGCCUCACUAGUGACUUUUCAUUGCAAGUGUGCGUGCACCAGGCACACUCCCACCUCAGGGCCUUUGCACUUGCUGUGCCCUCUGCCUCUACCAGUAGCCCUAUGGCUUUUGCUUCCUUACCUUUUUCAGGUCUUUGUUUAAACAUCCCCUCCUCACUGAGGCCUACAGUUGAAAUCCCUUCCCCUUGGCACGCUUUAUCCCCCUGUCCUGAUCUGUUGUUUUUUUUUCCAUAGCAUGAAUCACCAUCUGCCAUAUUAUAGAUGGUAGUUUAUUGAUUGUCUAUCUCCCCCUCCCCACUAGAAUGUAAUGUCUACAAGGGCAUUUUAUCCACUGUUCUCCAUGUCUAGAACUUUACUGGCAUAUAGAAUAUACUUUAAAGAUGUUUAUCAUUGAAUGAAUGACUCUUGCUCCACUCACAAAGUGUAAAUGUGUCUCCCAAGCCUAUCCUUACCCUGCUUAACACUAGUCCUGAUUAUCCCCCAUGCCGACAGCUUGCCUGUGUGGACUCCUGCCUGCUCUCUGUGCCAGGAUCCCGUGACAUGAAACAGAAUAAGUGCUUCAUAAACGGGAGUGACACUAGGCGUGGUGGCAUGCAUCUGGAGUCCUAGCUACGCGGGAGGCUGAGGCAGGAGGAUUGCCUGAGCCUAGGAGUUGGAGGCUCUAAUGCACUUGGAUAGCACCUAUGAAUAGCCAGUGCCCUCCAACCUGGGCAACAUAGUGAGCUCUUGUCACCAAAAAAAAAAAAAAAAAAGCUAGAAGAGAAUAAUUUGAAUAUUUCUAGCACAAAGAAAAGACAAAUAUUUAAGAUAAUGGAUAGCCCAGUUACACAGAUUUGAUCUUUACAAAUUAUAUGAAUGUAUUAAAUUAUCAUGGCUGGGUGCAGUGGCUCACACUUGUAAUCCCAGCACUUUUGGAGGCUGAGGUGGGUGGAUCAUCUGCGGUCAGGAGUUCCAGACCAGCCUGGCAAACACGGCAAACAUGUACUAAAAAUACAAAAAAUUAGCCAAGUGUGGUGGCAGGCACCUGUAAUCCCAGCAACUCAGGAGGCCGAGGCGGGAGAAUUGCUUGAACCUGGGAGGCAGAGUGCUUGCAGUGAGCCGAGACCGCACCACUGCUUUGUAGCCUGGGCAACAGAGUGAGAUGCCAUUUCAAUAAUAAUAAUAAACUAUCACAUGUAACCCCCAAAUAUGUACAUCAUUGUGUAUCAAUAAAAAUAAAUAAAUGUGAAUAAAUGACUGAGAGUAUGAAUAAUGCCAUCCCUCCAGCGCCCUUGCACUGUGGUUCUCCAGCACCUGCUACUUAGGUUUCUUCAGAUACCAGCUGCUCUGGGAGCUAUACCUUGUUUCAGGAUCUCAGUCACUGCCUUCAGCAGCCCACUAUCUGAUCCAAGCAGCCAUGGAUUCUCUUUUGUAUCCAGUCACUCCUGUACCCUCUUCCCUUUUAGGUUUUGCUACUGUCUUCAAACUUGCUUUGAAGAUUUGAGCUCCUGUGUCACCAGGUCACCCUCAGAGGCAUCAGGACAUGCUCUUCAAGUAAAGUCCAAAUGAGGGAUUAGACACUCUGGGCUUCAUUUCUCAGUGUCCUCUCUCAAGAGCUAGACUAUUACUUGCAUUUCUCAUCUCCUUGAAUCAUCAGCGCCUGGUGCUAUCAUUUAAAAUAGGGAAAGUUAUGAACUGGGUUAAAUUUUUUUUUUUUUUUUGAGAUAGAAUGUCACUUUGUUGCCCAGGCUAAAGUACAGUGGUGCAAUCUUGGUUCACUGCAACCUCCACCUCCCGAGUUCAAGCAAUUCUCCUGCCUCAGCCUCCCAAGUAGCUGGGAUUACAGGUGUUCACCACCAUGCCUGGCUAGUUUUUGUGCUUUUAGUAGAGACAGGGUUUCACCAUGUUGGCCAGGCUGGUCUCGAACUUAUGACCUCAAGUGAUCUGCCCGCCUCAGCCUCCCAAAGUGCUGGGAUUACAGGCGUGAGCCACCACACCCGGCCUCAAAAAAUAUUUUUUUAGAAAGAAAAAAGAAAGAAACAAAAACAAAUAAAAUAGGGAAAGAUGAUUAGUAAGUCUCUUCCUUUCCAGGGCCUUAGUUUUCCUACCUGUAAAAUACAGAGCAUGGUAUUUUUGGAGUCCAUGAAUCCACCAAGCACAGUAUCAUCUUUGCAUGGUGCUUUAAAGUAUAUAAAACAUUUUAGACAAACAAGAUCUUAUUUAACAAAAAAAUGCCCAAUAAAUGUUUGCUAACAGAAAUGAUAAUGCUGAUUCUGUGUGAGCUGAAAGAAGCCUGUUGAAGGUGAAUGUGUCGUCUAUCAUUAAGUCUGAGGACCAAUUAAAGUUAAAACAAGUAUGAGUCACUAAAUGUUAGAAUUAAUUUUGAAUCCCUUAGUUUAAUUCCUACAUGUUGUCAAUGCCUGAGGGAAAUGGUCUAGCCACAGGUGCCAGCUCAUAAGAAACGGGAAGGCCAGGUACGGUGGCUCACACCUGCCAUCCCAUCAUUUUGGGAGGCUGAGGCCAGCAGAUCAUUUGAGGCCAGGAGUUUGAGACCAGCCUGUGCAAUGUAGGGAGAUCUCUACAAAAAAGUAAUUAGCCAGACAUGGUGGUAUGCACCUGCAGUCCCCGCUGUUUGAGAGGCUGAGGCAGGAGGAUCACAUGAGCCUAGAAGUUCGAGGCCGCAGUGAGCUAUGAAUGCACCAUUGCACUCCAGCCUGAGCAAUAGAGUGAGACCUUGCCUCAAAAAUUAAAAAAUAAAAUAAAUAUAAAAAUAAAACAAGAGAGAGAGGGCACCGUCUCUGUGGUACUAUUUGGCUGUGUUACAUAACUGGCAUUUUAUUUGGAAAAAAAAAAUGUCCUCCAAGGGGUUCAUUUCCUCAGAUCAAAUGUCAUUCCAGGUGUUGGUAUGCAUUCGACGCGUGCAUUCUUCAGCCCUGGUUAUUCUGUUUUAUUUUAUGUAAAACUCUAUUUCAAAAUACAG
rnacentral:lncRNA from 1 species